GGGCCAAUCAGAACCUGCCGGGGGGUCUCUAUGCUGACCGGAAGUGGGUCUGUUACCCGGGGGCCAUCUUGCCGCUCGAGGUGCCGAGCCUUAGAGACGCGGGUCCCCGGGGGUCGAGGAAGGGGAGGCAGCUGUCGGUCACCGAGCUCCCGGGCGCAGGCCAGCCCGAGACCAGGCCCUAGAACCUUCCAGAUGCCGGUGUAUGUAUCGGGCCGCGGAGGUUGGGUCUCCCGCGGCUGGGCAUCAUCGCGCAUGCGCGGCCGGGCCAUGGCUGCCGCUCCGCAGGAAGGAGAGGAGGAGGCAGCAAGGAGUGGGUGGACUGGGAGUAACCCAGGCCCAGAGGCCCGAGCAUCCCCGGUGGCGGCACAGCGUCUGGACGGCAAGUUUGGCUGUGCAGGUGGGUGAGCGGAUGGGGGCGAAGGUGAGAGGCACCCAGAGUGCUUCCCGGAUGGUGACGCCCGGGAGGCCGGUGUGCCACGUGGGGCACAUCCUUGUGCUGAGGGUGCUGAGGCCCAGGUGCGGCUGGUCUGGAGGUCACGGGGCCUCCACGCUGCAGGCUGGGGCUUCCCCACCUCCCCACCUCCCGCCCUGUGCCGCUGUCUCAGAGCCUCUCCACCCCCAGCCUCUCCCUGCACGUUGUAUUUCCUUAAAUCUGUUUGAAAAGAAGGACCUACUUGUCCCCCACGUGUCGUCCCCCACCCCACCCACCCCUGCACGGCACCACAAAGCAGAGGGAAGCGGUGAGUGUUUAUAACUGCAGGCCAGAGGCAGGUCAUGGCCUGAGGCCUGAUGUCCUACUUAAAUCAAGAGGUGAGGUGGCGAUCCCAGGUGCAGGAGGUCCUGGGGCCCCCAGAUUCUAGAGGCAGGAAGCAGAAGGGUGGUUGCCGGGGCCGGGGAGGGAGAGGGCCACGGGGAGUUUUUAGUGGGUUUCAGUUUGCAAGAUGGAAGUUCUGAGGACGGAGCGUAGGGAAGGGCGUCCCACUGGGUGAAUGUAGACACGACACUGGUUCAGCUCUUAAAAGUAGGUAAGAUGGUAAAUUUGUGUUGUGUGUUUCUCAGCACAGUGUUUUAGAAAAGGAGAUGAACGAACGUGAGAGAGGUGUCAGCCCCCUCCGCUUCCAGAUGAGGCUUUGUCCUUGAUGAAGCAGAACACGUGAAAGAGAAUUGAAAGGCAAUGACUCACUCCCUGUAUGAUGUGGAUGUGCUGUUGCUUAAAAUUAAUAUGUCACACUGUGGUCAGAGGAGGAAAGGGGAUGACGAAGGGGCAGAGGUGUAGGCAGGCCGAGGAGGGAUCUGGCCCCCCUGCUGCAGGAGAGGCCGUGGGACAGUUGUGGCAGGUGCCCCGGCCACACUACCGGAAAGGGAAGUGGGAGCUGCGGGUCCCAGCUGCCGGGCUCCAUCCGUGUGAUCCUGGGGAAGGCGCGUCACCGACCCACAGGGUGAUGAAGAGGCUGCAGUGAGGCUGACCUGAGCUUGGCCUGGGAAAGUACGUGGGCGGGCUCAGUGCGCAUGGUCCAGGGGUCCUGGGUGGCCGUCUUUUGGGGCCCUGUUCCUGGAUCUCAUCAAGAGUCCCCUAGGUUUUCACGGAUCCGUGAACUCAGUUCCCGUGGGACAUUUGACCAGGUUCCCUGUGUUCACAUCCUUCAAGAUGCCAGACGAGAGGACGUGGUGGUUGUACCGUGUCACUGGGCUCACGAGGGAACUGCAUCCAGUUGAUGCUCAUUAAGUGUCUGUUAAAUGGUUACAGGGAUGAA
rnacentral:lncRNA from 1 species